UCAGCUCUCUUUGCCUCUGGCUUAGAUUUGGUGUAGUAUCUGUUCUGGUCAGUUUAAUCGCUGAUAGUCCUGCAUUGCAGGUCAUUUCUGAUUAUUCUAAUAUUUGGACUUCGCGACUUGGUCUCUGUGCUUGCGCAUGCCUCGUUGCACUGUGUCAUUGGGCUUACACUACCCCCGAUCGACGCGAACUCCU
rnacentral:snRNA from 1 species